rnacentral:rRNA from 5 species
CCAGCGAUUAGGUCGGGAACUCAAAGGAGACUGCCAGUGAUAAACUGGAGGAAGGUGGGGAUGACGUCAAGUCAUCAUGGCCCUUACGACCAGGGCUACACACGUGCUACAAUGGCGCAUACAAAGAGAAGCGACCUCGCGAGAGCAAGCGGACCUCAUAAAGUGCGUCGUAGUCCGGAUUGGAGUCUGCAACUCGACUCCAUGAAGUCGGAAUCGCUAGUAAUCGUGGAUCAGAAUGCCACGGUGAAUACGUUCCCGGGCCUUGUACACACCGCCCGUCACACCAUGGGAGUGGGUUGCAAAAGAAGUAGGUAGCUUAACCUUCGGGAGGGCGCUUACCACUUUGUGAUUCAUGACUGGGGUGAAGUCGUAACAAGGUAACCGUAGGGGAACCUGCGGUUGGA